UGCAACCUGAAAACCACAUAGCAAUUUUAUAUAUAAUCAACUGCAAAUAUUCAUUUCCAAAAGUAAAGAGAUAUACAACUUCACGCCCAGCGCAAAUUCAUGACCAAUUGGAACCACAUUUCUUAACAUAAUCAUAAAUAAACCCUAACCCUAAACCCACUACAUACUACCAAAAGCAAAACAACAGAUUUGGGGAUUCUAAGCCCUCUCGCCCCUGAUCCUGCGAGCGAGCUGAAUGUCCUUGGGCAUAAUGGUGACCCUCUUAGCGUGAAUGGCACAGAGAUUGGUGUCCUCAAACAGACCCACCAAGUAGGCCUCCGCCGCCUCUUGCAGCGCCGCCACGGCGCUGCUCUGGAACCGGAGAUCGGUCUUGAAGUCCUGAGCAAUCUCCCUCACAAGCCUCUGAAAUGGAAGCUUGCGGAUCAAGAGCUCAGUGCUCUUCUGGUACUUUCUGAUCUCCCUCAGGGCCACAGUUCCUGGCCUGAAACGGUGAGGCUUCUUCACUCCUCCGGUAGCCGGAGCUGACUUCCGGGCAGCCUUUGUGGCCAGCUGCUUGCGUGGAGCCUUGCCUCCGGUGGACUUACGAGCAGUCUGCUUGGUACGGGCCAUUUUCUCAGAUGUGAAAGAAUGGAGGAUUUGGGUGUUUGGCUAGUGGGAAAUUGAGAGAGAAGUACUAUAUGAACUUGUGAUUUGGGAAGUUUU
rnacentral:lncRNA from 1 species